CGGGGCCGGAGGCGCGCCGAAGGCGCAGCCCGUACCCGCAGGCUGAGGCUCCCGUCAGGCUGUGCGGCGCGAAGCGGAGUUACGCUACCGCGUUGCCUUUAAGGAGGUAGUAGAAGUCGUGAUGUCAGGGCCACAGUCAUCCGAAGACUUGACUAAAGCUGGAAGAUCCAAGAUGGCUCCCUCACGUGGCUGUGGGCUGGAGGCCUCAUCAGUCGCUCAGGGGUGUCUGACUGUUUGCCA